AAUACUUUGGCCACAAAGUGUUGUUCUAGGGAUAUCUGUCACUUGCUGAUCCUGCCUAAUUUACAUUACCUCUGACAUUCUGCACACUCUACCCCACUGUGCACAUUAUAUUGUAAACUCAUUAGAAAGACAAUACAGCUUUUUAAGGUUUCAGUCUUUGCCAUUGUUGGAAGCAGUUGAGAAAGGAUUUUGCCAAAAGCCCUAUUUUCUCCCACUGAUUUCCAAUCUACUUUGAACAUGAGCCGCCUCCUUCAGUUUUUCAUUAGGUCCAGCACCAACAAGUCUCCCAGCCAUUCAAUCAAACAAUCAAGUGCUUUCUAUGUGCCAGGAAUAGUGAUAAAUGAUAAGGAUACAAGAGAGAGACAACAGGCAAACAGUCACAUACAAACAAGAUUUUAUACACAUGCACAACAGUGAAUCAAUGAAUGAAAUGUAAUCUCAGAGGAAAGGUAGUAGGGGCAAGAGGGGCAAGAGAAGAUCUGCAGAAGGUAGGAUUUGAGCUGAAUCUUGACAUUAUUUUCUGUUCUCUUAUCCUGGCCCCUAUCCUAGAGGAGAAUUGGGACUUCAAAGAAACAUGCUAUUAAAUGGCAGGAUAGCAAAGGUUGAUGGCCAGGAAAGCUGAGGUCUUGUGUUCCUGAACAACAAGAAGCUCAAUGGAAAGCUUACCCAUUUCCUAGAGAGAAGUCAUGUUGGUAUUCUUAGUAUACUUUGUUCCCAUCAGGGAGUUGGGUACUGAAAAUUCCCAACUCAUCUAAAAGGAAGAUUUGGAUUUGAGUCCUGAAAUAUGCCUUCAAUAAUUCUGCUUUGAUAUUUGUGUGUGUUUUGUUAAAUUUACUCAGAUAAACAAUUGUCCGUUGCUUUACACAUACCCACCUAAUGGAAGGUUUAUUUCACUACUCAAAGACAUUCUCUGCUUCCAUUAUCCAUGAUCUCUGACAUAGCCACAUUUGGGAGACUGGUCUAAGGAUGUUGUCCUGGAUGCAGCUCUCACUGAUGGUUUGAGAGACUGAGGAUUCCUUGGCAUUCUUUUGCUCAAAACCCAGGCACUUCACAAUAUGACUUAGAACCCAAGACUUCCCCCACGUAACACAGGGAGACAUAGGAAGCAAGACUAUUCAGCCCUUUGACAUUCCCUUUGGACAGAACCUCAGGCAGUUCAUUGCCCAGCCCAGGACAAGACUCAUGUUAAAAUAAAGGAAUGUGGCAAAAACUCCCCUACAAGACUCCCUAGUAUCUAGAGAACUUUUCUCUUAUUUUCCUUCUUUCAAAGCAAUGCUGAAACCAUGGUAUAAUGGGCUACUGGCUGAAAGCAAACUUAGACUGAAAGGUGGUGCUCUCCUCAGACUACUGGUAGCAGAACUGCUUUCCUGCUCCCACAGGACCCUCUUCCUGACAUGCUGUAAGAGCCCACAUUGGGACCUGCUCAUAGACUCUUGAAGGAGGCCCUGCUGGAGGGACAUUUUCUGCAUUCCACUUCAAAGACCAGUUAAUAUAACUCAUGAUCUCUGUCUCUCUAAACCCAAGUCCAAGAGGCUUCCUUAGCUUUAGACCUUCCAGGGGGGACCAAAUCCAAGGCAAAGUUUUCUCAUUCAAUUUUCUGGUUUGCUUGUUGGAAGACAGGGACUAUUGUUCUUCAGAAGUCUUUGCACCUCUGUCUCAUGCUCAAGGAUGGGCAGGCACAUGGCAUUCAGCAAUGUAGUCCCUUAAUGCCUUGUGACCGUGGGCAAAGGAUAGCCUCUCUGUGUUGGUUCCCUCACCUCCAAAAGAAGGGGUUGGUGACCCUGGGCAAGGUUGGACUAGAUGAUCCCUGAAGUCUCUUCCAUCUUUAAGGCUUGGAGCUUAGGAAGGACUUAGUCAUUAACUUUAGAGGUACAUGCAUGAACAGACAUGGUCCUAAACUCAUAAACUGGAAUGUAUAUCCCAGCUGGUUAUAAUCACAUACCAAUUGUUUGGUUCACACAAAUGCAACCAAAUGCAUAAUCUCACGUGUUCACAUGUAAUCUUAGAACAUCGAUCGGUUUAUUUGUAACGUGUUUUCAUACACCAUACCUACAAAAUGAAAUGAAGCAGCAUGCACAGUGUAUACAUAUAAAAUCAUGCACAAAUCUGUUGGGUGAUUGUGGCCAGUCUGCCCAGAAGUUUAGAUUUUUUGUCUUGGGGGUACAGCUUAGCUCAGCUCUCUUUGGGUCUCUGAAAUUCCUGGCAAGUCUUGAAUUGUGUGGAGCAAAGUGAGGGGUGGGAGGAAGCUCUUGGCUUUAAUUGACGAUUCCUGCUGGGUCUUCCUGACUGACUGGGGCCUCGGAGAUGACACUUCUCUGACCUAAAAGAUGGAGAUAUUUCCUCUUAGCUACCCAUUUGUACCCUUUUGGGGGUAGAGAAAAUACUAGGGGAACAUAAAACUCAAUUUAACAACCAAGAAAUAUAUUAUGGUCAAGAUCCCACUGCUAGGUUCCAUGGACAGAAUUGUGAAUAGAUCCUGUCCAGGAGAUUUCUCUGGGAAAAAAAGUGUGAUUGCUGUCCAAGGGAUAAUUGGACUCUGUCCUUAUGGAAUCUCUGACCUGAGGAAGAUUUACUGCCAUUCUCAGUAAUUUCUGACCUGACAGUAAACUAUAGGGGAGGUGAUGUCCUUGCUUUUAAGUAGUCUCAUGAGAGAUGUGAUGUCCCCAUCUUCAAAAAGCUGAUCUGAGGGAGUAGAAAAAAUAGGCAGAUAUUAAUUUAAGUAAGAUUACAGAUUUACAUAAAAGAGAAAUUGAGAAUAACCGUCUUACAGAUUUCCUCACCUGUUCUUAUCCCCAUUCCUUUAAUAGCAUAAAUUCAAUUUGGACAUGAAUUGUGGUGUAGCUGAAGUAGUGAAUUUGGAGUCAGCCUGGGUCUAAAUCCUAGCUCUGGUACUUAGCCAUAUGCAAAGUUUGGGGAAAAUUCUUUCCUUUUAUGGGCUUCGGUUUCUUCCCCUGCAAAAAAAAGGGGAUUGGACUCAGAGUGGUCUCUGAGAUCUCUUUCAGUUUUAAACUUAAAGUUCAAUAGCCUUACCAUUCUUGAGAUCUGCUUGAGGCUGAUUUGGAUUUUACUCUAGCCUGAGUUCCUGUCAAUUAAGGAGGCCUGAAAUCUGACUGACUGAGGCAUCCUCUCCAAGGGGCCCCAGAGCCUUGCUUCUGAACUGGUUGAAAUCUCUGGCCCUGACAAACAAGGAAGAAACUAGCCAGCAUAAACUCUGUUAUGAUAGUGCAGCACUGCUGUGCAGUUUCUUAGACCCAGAUGGAGGGGAUUUGUGAUACCAUGGAAAGGGCUCCAUAUGGGGAAUCAGAAGACCUGGCUCCCAGUUCCAUCUCAUCAUUGGCUCAGCAGGUGACCUUGGGCUCAACCCUUUACCUCUCUGGGCCAUAUUGACAAUGAUAAUACCCUCUGCCCACCUAGAGUCCAUCAAAAGGUCAUUAUAAAGAUCAGUUUAAAAAGUCAAGCAUGAAUAAGAGCUUUUUUUUUUUUUUUUUGAUGGGGGACAGUGUCUGAAAGUAUGUUCAUCUAGCUGAAUCAUGUUGGGAGUAAUAUCCAGUUGGGAAGCCACAUCAGGUGCAGGGCUCUGGCUGGCCACCACCCUGCCCUUCAUAUCCUGCUCCCUGUUCCACAAUGAGACUGUGGCUCUCUACUCACCCCAGAUUUCCUCCAUCCUUUGCUUCUACUUUUGAGAUUGGUGUUUGAAGAUGAGUGUUCCAGAGAUUCUCUGUAUAUACAUGUAAAGAGAUUGAGAGAUGGAAGAAGGAAACGGGAGGGAAAAGAGAUGACCCCCUGAGGACCAUGGUCAUCUUCAGGGCCUUGAAAAAGGAUCUCUUUGCACCCAUCAUGGGCCCUGCCUGCUCAGAUUCUUUGUUUUACUGUUUCUGUGUCUGUCACAUAAAUUAUUAUAGUUUAUUAAACAACAAAACAAUCUGC
rnacentral:lncRNA from 1 species